rnacentral:rRNA from 1 species
GCCCUUCACUACGGAAUAGCCUCUGGAAACGGAGAGUAAUACCGUAUGCGCCCUUCGGGGAAAGAUUUAUCGGUGAAGGAUUAGCCCGCGUCUGAUUAGAUAGUUGGUGGGGUAACGGCCUACCAAGUCGACGAUCAGUAGCUGGUUUGAGAGGAUGAUCAGCAACACUGGGACUGAGACACGGCCCAGACUCCUACGGGAGGCAGCAGUGGGGAAUCUUAGACAAUGGGCGCAAGUGAUCUAGCCAUGCCGCGUGAGUGACGAAGGCCUUAGGGUCGUAAAGCUCUUUCGCCAGGGAUGAUAAUGACAGUACCUGGUAAAGAAACCCCGGCUAACUCCGUGCCAGCAGCCGCGGUAAUACGGAGGGGGUUAGCGUUGUUCGGAAUUACUGGGCGUAAAGCGCGCGUAGGGGAUUGGAAAGUUGGGGGUGAAAUCCCGGGGCUCAACCCCGAACUGCCUCCAAAACUAUCAGUCUAGAGUUCGAGAGAGGUGAGUGGAAUUCCAAGUGUAGAGGUGAAAUUCGUAGAUAUUUGGAGGAACACCAGUGGCGAAGGGGCUCACUGGCUCGAUACUGACGCUGAGGUGCGAAAGUGUGGGGAGCAAACAGGAUUAGAUACCCUGGUAGUCCACACCGUAAACGAUGAAUGCCAGACGUCGGGGGGCCUGCCCUUCGGUGUCACACCUAACGGAUUAAGCAUUCCGCCUGGGGAGUACGGUCGCAAGAUUAAAACUCAAAGGAAUUGACGGGG